AUUUCGCUAGCUCAGUUGGUAGAGCGUCCGCUUCACAUCCAGUGAUUACGCGGAAGGUCGAGGGUUCGAGCCCCCCGUGGAAUA